rfam:Schistosoma haematobium scaffold1245_22, whole genome shotgun sequence.
AUCCAACUGACGAGUCUCAAAUAGGACGGACCACACGUCCUGGAU